rnacentral:rRNA from 1 species
AUACGUAGGGAGCGAGCGUUGUCCGGAAUUACUGGGUGUAAAGGGAGCGUAGGCGGGAGUGCAAGUCAGAUGUGAAAUACAUGGGCUCAACCCAUGGGCUGCAUUUGAAACUGCAUUUCUUGAGUGAAGUAGAGGUAAGCGGAAUUCCUGGUGUAGCUGUGAAAUGCGUAGAUAUCAGGAGGAAAACCGGUGGCGAAGGCGGCUUACUGGGCUUUUACUGACGCUGAGGCUCGAAAGCGUGGGGAGCAAACAGGAUUAGAUACCCUGGUAGUCCACGCUGUAAACGAUGUUUACUAGGUGUAGUGGGACUUACCCCUUCCGUGCCGCAGUUAACACAAUAAGUAAUCCCCCUGGGGAGUACGGCCGCAAGGUUGAAACUUAAAUGAUUUGGCGGG